rnacentral:lncRNA from 1 species
UCUCAUUGCACCUGGUAGCUGCGCCGGGCAACAACCUUCGCGCUGCCUGCACAGCACCCAUGGCAGCACCAACAACAUUUGGCGUUGUUAUGGCCUUCUACCAACGGUGAUUGGCUAUGCACGUUGCACAACUAGGCAUGCCAGCAAUACUGGCGCCACCAUUGGUGGUUGUUGCAAUGACCUAAAACCAUUUAAAAAAAAAUCAAUGGUGAAUUCCAGCCAGAUUUGGUCAGAACAGUAACCAAAAAGAAUACUAAGAGAAAACAAUACUUUUGGGAAAAAUAUAUUUGCACAUAAAUUUAAUUCAUAGUUAUCGUCAAUCAACAACACUAAUUGUCUAACGAAAGUUCCACUACUAUUGUUGGGUUUUUAAAUAUCUUACACGCAGUGAAAACUGUAAAACAAAAAUUUUCAGGAAUUUUUAUGAUCCCGUUACAUAGAUCUAGAGGAUUUUAAGGAUUUAUUACCUGAAGAUCUGAUCUUUUUUAGCUCUGAAUAAUUCUUUAAAAGUUGGAUUAUCACAAACAACAAGUUAUCCAAUUGUUUGGCCUCCAACAGUAAUCCACACAAACUACUAUUAAUAAAUCUCUUAAAUCCUUAUUUAGAAUAGAGGGAUUGUUAUGUCUAGAGUAUUAGCUCUCUAUUCUGUGACUUACGUAGUUUUGUUUUUUUAACAGACAAUCACAAAAAAAGUAUAACUUACUAUUUAUAGAAAAAUCUAAAAAACCCUAUAAAUUGGUAAAAUAUCAAUUCACCACUUGCAUAAUAUUUAUAUGCUAAUUCAAGAUAAUUUUAGAAACUAACUCAAUCAAGUAUAUUUAAUCCAUGUAUUAAUUGUAUUCUAGUCCUUAAUUUCUAAAAUAACUUAGUGAUCUCAAGUUUAAGGAUCAUUUAUACAACUGUUACACGAACCUUGUUAUAGACAUAGGCAAUCUCCACAUAUAAAAUUCUUAUAUAAAUCAUUUCAGUAUGCAUGUCUUAUGACAUGCACUAACAUAUUAAUUAUAAGUAUCCCUUAUAUCUCAGUUUAUGCAGACACCUUUUCAUAAAAAAAAAGAACAUAAUAUAUAUCAGCCUCUAUGGCUCUAUAACUUUUUAUAAUUUUCUUUAUAAAAUAUUUUUGUCCCAUAGACUUUUAGAUUUAUUAAUCUAAUAUUAUAUAAAUAUUAAAUAUAAAUUCAACCUUUAUUAAUAAUAAAAAUAUAUUUAUAUAAAUAUAAUAGUUAUAAGUCAUGUAUUAAACUAACAAAUGUAAGUGAAAUGUUUCGUUCACCAUUCUUUUCGGUGACUUGAUGAAAAGUCCACAGGUGAAUAAAGAAAUUUGUAAUUAUCUAAAUAAUUUAUUGGAAAAUAUUAUAUUUUAAACAAAAUCCGUACUUAGACAAAAUAAGUAGCUCCUUUGAUUGUUUGAAUUACCUCCAGAUAAAAGCCGGUAAUCUGAUGGUACCAGAUUCGAGGUUCUGCAAACAAGUUUUCUGCAGCUUUACCUGCAGGUUGCUC